rnacentral:rRNA from 1 species
GGGUCAGUAGGUUGGUCGUGCCACCGGUACGUACUGGUCUCACUGAUUCCUCCUUCCUGAAGAACCGUAAUGCCAUUAAUUUGGUGUCGCGGGGAAACAGGACUGUUACUUUGAAAAAAUUAGAGUGUUUAAAGCAAGCUAACGCUUGAAUACAUUAGCAUGGAAUAAUGAAAUAGGACGAUCGAUCCUAUUUUGUUGGUUCCUAGGAUUGACGUA